GGCAGAGUAGGAAAUUGUGCGUUAAGUGCUAGCUGGACAGGAAGUUGCCGCUAGACGAAAGAUCACUUUGAUUUGCGGUGCAAUUUCCGCAUUCCGCUGCC
rnacentral:ncRNA from 1 species